GACGAACGCUGGCGGCGUGCCUAAUACAUGCAAGUCGAGCGGAACCAGAGGAGCUUGCUCCUUCUGGUUUAGCGGCGGACGGGUGAGUAACACGUGGGCAACCUGCCCUGCAGAUCGGGAUAACUCCGGGAAACCGGUGCUAAUACCGAAUAGUUUGCGGCCUCUCCUGAGGCUGCACGGAAAGACGGUUUCGGCUGUCACUGCAGGAUGGGCCCGCGGCGCAUUAGCUAGUUGGUGGGGUAAUGGCCUACCAAGGCGACGAUGCGUAGCCGACCUGAGAGGGUGAUCGGCCACACUGGGACUGAGACACGGCCCAGACUCCUACGGGAGGCAGCAGUAGGGAAUCUUCCGCAAUGGACGAAAGUCUGACGGAGCAACGCCGCGUGAGUGACGAAGGUUUUCGGAUCGUAAAACUCUGUUGUGAGGGAAGAACAAGUACCAACUAACUACUGGUACCUGACGGUACCUCA
rnacentral:rRNA from 1 species